GAUGAACGCUGGCGGCGUGCCUAAUACAUGCAAGUCGAGCGAACAGAUGAGGAGCUUGCUCCUCUGACGUUAGCGGCGGACGGGUGAGUAACACGUGGAUAACCUACCUAUAAGACUGGGAUAACUUCGGGAAACCGGAGCUAAUACCGGAUAAUAUAUUGAACCGCAUGGUUCAAUAGUGAAAGACGGUUUUGCUGUCACUUAUAGAUGGAUCCGCGCCGCAUUAGCUAGUUGGUAAGGUAACGGCUUACCAAGGCGACGAUGCGUAGCCGACCUGAGAGGAUGAUCGGCCACACUGGAACUGAGACACGGUCCAGACUCCUACGGGAGGCGGCAGUAGGGAAUCUUCCGCAAUGGGCGAAAGCCUGACGGAGCAACGCCGCGUGAGUGAUGAAGGUCUUCGGAUCGUAAAACUCUGUUAUUAGGGAAGAACAAAUGUGUAAGUAACUAUGCACGUCUUGACGGUACCUAAUCAGAAAGCCACGGCUAACUACGUG
rnacentral:rRNA from 1 species